CCAUACGAAGGACGAAAACAAAAAAAACACAUUUUAAUAUGAUAAAAAAUAGAUUUAAUAACUGCUCAAUAGGAAUGAUUAGGCUACUAUUUUUACAUAUAAUUUAAAUAGUCGUAAUUGUUCAAAUUAAUUGCCAGGAGAUAGAAAUUGCAAACCUAAAUUCAAAUCCAAUUUUAACUUUGAGAAUCAAAUCUUGUAAAAUUCAAACAGGAAAUGUCUAUAUUAUUCAUCCUAUAAACACUACAAAUUUAGAAGUUACAAUCAAUUCUUUGACAAAUUUAGCGUAUAAAAAGAUUAAUAAUCAUUUAUCUGAAAUUGUUAAACACAAAAUUAACUCUUAUAUUCCAAUUUCAUUCAAAUACAACCACGAAAACGUUUAGCUAGGAGCCUGAACCUUAUCGGAACGACUUGGAAAUGGAUCAGUGGAAGCCCGGACGCCGAAGACCUUCACAUUAUCAACACAACCCUGAACAACUUAAUCGAAAGCAACAACCAACAAUAUAAAGUCAACGAACAGAUUGGUAAAAGAUUGGAGUCAUUAACCAGAGCAGUCAAUAAGGUAAUUGAAAGCAAACAUGAAAACCAGAUCAUACUGAAUGAAAUAGAAACCAUCACCACCAUUAUUAAUAUUGACCUGAUCAACAAGAUACUAGAAGAAAUUCAGGACGCAAUAUUGUGGACUAAAAUAUCAGUUGCCAACAGCAAAAUUCUCACAACCCAAGAGAUACACACAAUUCGAGUAUUAUUGGAGGAUCAAGGAGUUUACACAGAUCUGCCAGACGAAGCACUAAACUUAGUGCAACCCAAAAUUGCCGUUAACCACGAAACCCUACUGUACAUCUUACGUGUACCAAAACUGGAGAGAGAAGAAUCAGCAAUACUUCAAAUCCAUGCGCUGAAUAAUAACAAUUCAAUGAUUAGGAAAUAUCCAACACACCUGGUUAAAAGCAGUCAUGGACCAUUCACAACCACCAAACCUGAUGAAUUCAUUCAACUUAGUAGUUACAUCAUAACUAUCAGAAACCAGCAAUUUUCAUCAAUCAGCCGAAUCGUUCAUCCGUCCAUCAUUCAAGGGGCUAUGUACAAUCUGAUAAUACACCACCAAUUAGAGGAGGACGACAUAAAUUAUCUCAACAAUAAAACUAUAACCAACAGGAAAAUGAUUAAUCACGUUUACUUGAAGCAGUUUACAAAUCAACUUUGGUAUUGGAGUUUAUUUGGAGGGUUAACACUCUCAACCAUUAUAACCAUAACAUUAGCUGUGUUUGCUCUACUCUAUUACAGACAAACUGUUCGUUACUUCAUUUCUAAGCUAACCAAAAGAGACCCCAAAUCUUCAUCGCAGAAUCCCAUUGAAGACGCGUGAGGCCACGCUUUUUUCACCCCCCGGAGGAGUUAUGAUACAAUAUGCACAUCAACCGUAAUAGCGACAACAAGAGGGCCCUGCCAACAGAGAAGCACCGUCAGCAGAACCCCUGGACUUCGAACCCAAUCAGCCGUUGUCACCCAGAAAGUAAUAAUGCACCAUCAGCAGAAUUCCCCACCGGUCGAUCACCGAUGUUCCAAAUAGGCAGGCAUAGGAAAUGUUAAGUUAGCAAUAAUAAAUUAUAAAAGGUAGUGAAUGACAGUGAAUUGGGCAGUUCAUAGUUAGUAAGCAGUGAAUUCAGAUGUAAUUAGUGUAAAGUUUGAUUAAUAAAUUAUUUUUUUUUGAUUCCGUAA